rnacentral:piRNA from 1 species
UACAUGUGGACCUCCAAUUUA